AACACUGUUAACCUGCGGUACCUGCGGAGGGAUCAUUACCGAGUUUACAACUCCCAAACCCCUGUGAACAUACCAAUUGUUGCCUCGGCGGAUCAGCCCGCUCCCGGUAAAACGGGACGGCCCGCCAGAGGACCCCUAAACUCUGUUUCUAUAUGUAACUUCUGAGUAAAACCAUAAAUAAAUCAAAACUUUUAGCAACGGAUCU
rnacentral:misc_RNA from 1 species